AUUGAACGCUGGCGGCAGGCCUAACACAUGCAAGUCGAACGGUAGCACAGAGGAGCUUGCUCCUUGGGUGACGAGUGGCGGACGGGUGAGUAAUGUCUGGGAAACUGCCCGAUGGAGGGGGAUAACUACUGGAAACGGUAGCUAAUACCGCAUAACGUCGCAAGACCAAAGCGGGGGACCUUCGGGCCUCUUGCCAUCGGAUGUGCCCAGAUGGGAUUAGCUAGUAGGUGGGGUAACGGCUCACCUAGGCGACGAUCCCUAGCUGGUCUGAGGGGAUGACCAGCCACACUGGAACUGAGACACGGUCCAGACUCCUACGGGAGGCAGCAGUGGGGAAUAUUGCACAAUGGGCGCAAGCCUGAUGCAGCCAUGCCGCGUGUAUGAAGAAGGCCUUCGGGUUGUAAAGUACUUUCAGCGAGGAGGAAGGUGUUGUGGUUAAUAACCGCAGCAAUUGACGUUACUCGCAGAAGAAGCACCGGCUAACUCCGUGCCAGCCGCCGCAGUAA
rnacentral:rRNA from 1 species